GGAGGGGUGGCCGAGUGGUUGAAGGCGGCGGUCUCGAAAACCGUUGUGUCAUUUAUGACACCGGAGGUUCGAAUCCUCUCCCCUCCGCCA
rnacentral:tRNA from 1 species